rnacentral:rRNA from 1 species
UACGUAGGGGGCUAGCGUUGUCCGGAAUCAUUGGGCGUAAAGCGCGCGUAGGCGGCCCGGUAAGUCCGCUCUGAAAGUCCAGGGCUCAACCCUGGAAAGCGGGUGGAUACUGCCGGGCUAGAAUCCGGAAGAGGCGAGUGGAAUUCCUGGUGUAGCGGUGAAAUGCGCAGAUAUCCGGAGGAACACCAGUGGCGAAAGCGGCCACCUGGACUGUACCUGACGCUGACACGCGAAAGCUAGGGGAGCGAACGGG